rnacentral:misc_RNA from 1 species
CUCCCUCUCAAGCAUCCUCUAUUCAUUUGCACAUCUUUUCUGCAUUCCCUCGGCCCACCAUUCAAUCACGCCCCCUCCCCCACCUCCCUCUUCCCACUCAAACACCAGCUUUAUCAUCACCGCCAUGCCGACUGAAGCGCACGGAUGGGCUGCCCUCUCCGCCAAGUCGAAGCUGGAGCCCUUCACCUUCCAGCGCCGUGACGUUGGCCCUGACGAUGUGGUGAUCAACAUAGCGUACUGCGGUGUGUGCCACAGCGACGUGCAUCAGGCCCGCGAUGAGUGGGACGGCUCCACGUUCCCGAUGGUGCCCGGCCACGAGAUUGUUGGCCACGUGACGAAGGUGGGCUCAGAAGUGACCAAGUACAAGGCUGGCGACAGGGUUGGCGUGGGCUGCAUGGUGGACUCGUGCAUGAAGUGCCGCCAGUGCGAGCGCGGCCUGGAGCAGUAUUGCGUGAAUGGCGCGUCGUUCACCUACAACAGCACGCAGCAGGACAAGAAGACGCCGACCUUUGGCGGCUACUCCGACCACGUGGUGGUGCGCGAGCAUUUCGUUGUGAGCAUCCCGGAUAACCUCGACCUGUGCGCCGCGGCACCGCUUCUCUGCGCUGGUGUCACGACGUUCUCGCCGCUGCGGUACUGGGGAGUGAAGAAGGGCACGCGCGUGGGUGUGGUUGGGCUGGGCGGUCUGGGCCACAUGGCCGUGAAGCUGGCGAACGCGAUGGGGGCGGAAGUGACGGUGUUCACUCGCUCCUCGAACAAAGUCGAGGAGGCAAAAAACCUCGGCGCGCACCACGUCGUCAACACGAACAACGAGCAGGAGAUGAAUUCGAUUCAGGGAACACUCGACGUGAUUGUGGACACGGUGGGCAUGAGCCACGACCUGCGCCCCUACAUGAUGACGCUGGACAUCGACGGCAAGCUUGCCCUGGUGGGAAUGCCGGAGCACGCGCACCCGCCGCUGGACCCCCGGCGCAUUAUCGCUUCGCGCCAGUGUGUUGGCGGGUCGAAUAUUGCUGGCAUGCCUGAGACACAAGAGCUGCUCAACUUCUGCGGUGAGCACAACAUCACCGCGACGGUGGAGAAGAUCAGCAUCGAAUGCAUCAACGAGGCCUACGAGCGCAUGUUGGCGAGCGACGUGCGCUACCGCUUCGUGAUUGACAUGGCAUCUCUGAAAAGGGAGUAGACGCGGCCCUCACAACGGCGUCACUGGAGGCAAUGGUGCUCCGCAGCCCACCUGGUAAAAAAGCACUCUCGGGGAGAACUUCAUCUUCCCCAUGUGGGCUCGAUCAGGCAGCUGCGGAUGGCACUGCCGCUCCACGGUGUCCCUCUACGCAACUAGCAAACCCGUACUCCUCCUAUCAUGUUUUGGCUUCCAUAUAAGCGCCGGACAGGACUUUACGGAGUCUGCCUCUGCGGUUACGGGAGAGCAGGAUGACCAGUGACGUGGCCCGCGCCUUUUUUGUGUGGUGCGUGUACGUGUGCUUGGGUAUGUUUUACGUCUUCGAACUCUGUUGAGGACACUCGUGCAUGGACUGCCCCCCUCCCCCUCCUCUUCCUUCCCCCUCCACACUACCCGCCCCUCAUUAUCCAUCUGUCUCCUUUCCAUGUUUGGACGCCUCUUCACGUGCAUCUUGCGGCGUUUUGUGUAUGUGUGCGUGAGCUGUGACGGCAAUACCUGCAAGGGCGAAGAGGAAAGUGACGGACUGGGUGGUCAGUGGGCAAGUGGAGGAGAAAGGGAGAAGACGGCGGGGCAGCGGCAAAUGGUCGAUCAUCACAAACUCUGCCAUCGACGCGAGUAAACCAAAGUGGUGCUCGUAAGCCGACCAGAGAGACGAGGGCUGAUAUAUAUAUAUAGCGACGGCGGUUUUCUUUUUUAUCUUUCUUUUCCAUUAUUUGUUUUCCUCUUUCUACUUCAUUGAUUGGUGACGCGGUCGCUACUGAUGGCACGCACUCGUAUCAACGGUGAAGGAAUGAGCGAGUGUGUUCGGGUGUGUGUCGGGGUGGGCUGCUACUGCCGGUGCGCGCUAACACCGAGGAGCAGUGGGUUCGAAAACAGCAUGAAAAACUGAACUUUCUCAGCAUGAGGACAAGAAAGGCGAAGAACCAACUGACAACAGCGACGGAGGGGGAGAGAGCCGGUGGCGAAGGAGCGAUGAGAAGCCCAUGAGCACAUAUCGGCGCACAAUCACACACCGAUGACGUACAUGGCGGGCGGGUGGGCGAGGAGUGCAUGGCAAGGAGAGGAAAGAGUCUCGAACAAGAGAAGCGGGAGGAGGGAAUCAGCGAGUAGCGUGCGCGAGAGCCACGCAGAUUGACCGCGAGCAAGCAAACACAAAAAGGGACAACCCAUAUAAGUUGUAGCACUGUUUCUUUUCGUGGCUGCUUCUUCCGACUCCGUCUCCUGUUGUACUUCCUCCUCCCCCCUGCUCCUCUGCCCCUCCCUUUCCCUCUCCUUCUCUUCACACGGCUGAACUCUACCCGUCUCAAUGAAUUCAGAAGCCGGAACAUGCUAUUGCAUUUUGGUUCCCUCCCUCCCCCUCUCCCCGCCGCCCCCCUCUUAUUGUUAUGUUUCACCCUGAUUUUUUGGGGGAGAGGCGUAUCUCUUUUGGGCUUGCCCCGUCGACAAAAGGAAACGGUUUCUCAGAUGCAGACGGCUGCUUGUUCUCACUAAACGGCUGUGCACUUGGACGUGCCGGCCUCUCUCCCUCCUUUGUCUCUGCGUUUGCGUCUUGUCGACAUGCGCGCUCGUGUCAUCGGCUUUGGGCUCCGAGACUUGUCUUUGCGGGUGCGUCUCGCUUGUUGUGUGCCUUUUCGUUCCGGACGGGGAAGUGCUCCGCCUCCCUCUCCGCAAUAUCCACGAAGCACCGAUCGCAGCAUUUUUUCUAUGUGCGUGCGUGUGGCCCGCAAGUAACCUGCUCGGCACGCCACAUCUUCUCACUCUUCCGGCUCUCAGCCCCUCCCCCUCCCCUACUCCCUCUCCCCAUACUCGUCCCAUGCGUGUUCGAAUUCAUUCCUCCUCUCCACUGGAUACAUGAAAAUUUUUAUUCCUUAGUAUUGCGCAUGAGUUGUGAGUGUUUCUCCGUGUUCAACUGACCUUUUUCCCUUCCUUCUGUACACCCCCCCGCCCCCCCCUCUGCACCUCUAAAGAGAAGGGAGGGAGAAGGUAUUUGCUUGACCAUCUUUCUCUGUUUCGCCUGUGCUCCCUUUUGUUUCCGUAUUGCCAACGACUUGAACCGUGCGCUCGCGUGCAGCGUCGCGAGCCAAUGCCUCGGUGUUUCAAUAAAAAGCUUCCCUUUUUUCUAUUUUCCUUUGUUUUCUUUGCUCGUUGUUUUAGCAGGUCGCCGAAGACACGCGCUUUCCAUAACACCCCUUAUAAUCACGUUGGGGAGAGGGGAUGUGGGUUGCGCAGCGCCUCCUCUCCAGAUACUUGUGUUAGCUCCUUCCCUCUCCUCCCUUCAAUGGCUCUUUUCUCUGUGCGACUCAGCCGACGGCACCGUUGCGUUUUAAUACUCACCUAGCACAGACACACACACGCGCGCGCACAAUGCGCGUGCCCACGGCUUCUUGCUCCCCCUUCUCGUCGCACUCCAUGACCACAUGCAACCUCCACGCUCCCGUCUUUCGUCGUCUACCGUCCGACAUGCUCUCUCCUUCCACGCCAGCUGGUUCCCAACUACUACGCACACAUCCACGCUUGGGUGCGGGGCCAGGGGCGCACUUGAGAGAUAGAAAGCGGAAGGACUGUGGAGGAAAGAGGCAAUGCAGAGUUCGGGGAUGCGCAGAGAAGCGGUUGCGUGCCUGUGUCUGUGUGCAGAAGUUUAGAGGCUGCACGAUGCAGCUGGUGCCAGCGGCGUUGCGUGGCCUCUCCGCACACGUCGGGAGACGAAGAGGGGGUGGGUGGAGGAAAAGAACGCCAUUUUGAGCGGUGGACCGUGAGGACAUCGAAACGGAAAAGUGAAACACAACAACAGCAU